ensembl:lncRNA
UUCUGAUCUGGGUACCUGAUCCCUGCUGAAAAAUUCCAAAUGGGUCAUUAAUGCUCUAAAAGUGUACGCAGCUGAAUUCAGGUUGCUUGCUUGGAGCAUUGAGUGCCCUCUAACUGUGUGCUCCCUACCCUUCUGGCAUCUGUCAAGAAUAGAGCACACUUUGCCAGAGCCACAAGAAAGUCCCUUCAUAAUGCCAUGUUUUCUCAUAAUCUCUGGCUACCACCUGCAGUUAACUCCUUUUAUCUCCAAUGAAUUUUGGGCUAAAAUGCUGCUCCAUCUGCAAGCCACUCUGGGAGGGUAGAUAGGCUGUGGAGAUAGUAAAGGUUGAAAGAAGGAUAAAAAACUUGAGACCAAACACAUGAAUACUACUCAUUAAAAAUUAGAUAGUGUAGAUUGAGAGAUCAAACAUGAAAGGUUGAAAGCAAAGGUGAUAUUCUCAUACAAAUAGUGUUUACUAAAGUAUUUGUAAAUCACAAAUUCUUUAAAUAUAUCUAAUACAGAAGAUGCUUACUCAAUCCCAAAAUAUAAAAUUCCAUCAACUAGUUUGUUUGGUUUUUACACUAAGAGCAUGCACAAUAGGGCGCUGCCCAUGGUUUGUUUUGUGUUUUUUUAAGGUAACCCCUGACCUCUCACUGGGAAGAAGUGGAGUCAAGUAGAUGAAGUAGGGUGAGCCCGAAGUCCAGAGAGUGACACACGUUUAAUUUCAGCUGGCAUGAAAAACUCCAGGCCUUUCUGCCCCUUGCCCAGUGCAUUCCCAGUUCCCUAACCAAGGAUUGAACCUGUGCUUCCUGCAGUGUAAGCUUGGAGUCUCAACCACUGGGCUGCCAGUGAAGUUCCCAUAACUGAAAUUUACCUCAUGAGAUAAAUGUAAGCAAAUAUUUAAAAUUUUGGCAGGGUUCAAAUUAAUACUGAGAUGCAAUAAAUAUCAAGGAUAGAUAAAAAUAUUGGAAACCACACACCUAAAUCUGGCCAAAAGCAGAAAGCCAUAACAAUAUACUCGGAAACUAAUGAACACACUUCCUAUAAAAUACUUAAAUUUUGUAAACAGGCUAUGUAAUUCUAAAGUUUACAACCCUGAGACUCAAAGAACAAAGUUAUGGUUACGGGGUAAUCAUCAUGAUUGCAGGCAGGGGUAUGGGGGAAGGGAUAGUUAGGGAGUUUAGGAUGGACUUGUACACACUGUUAAGAAAAAUUCCUUGAACUGUGCCUCAUAAAUUGUGCAUGUUUCAAUAAAAAUUUCAAAAAUUAGGGAAAAUUAAAAAUUUUAAUCCUGUCUCCAAAAUCUGAAACAGAUAACUGUUAUUAGUUUAUUCUUGUUUUUUGAGUGCAUAACCAAAGUACUAACUUUAAAGCUAGUGGCAUACACUCUGUAUGAAAGAAUACACUCUGUAGAGCCUUUGGGAAUGCACUUAGCCACGUUAAUGACGCAAAUGGACUAUUUGAUCAUCUGAGUAGAUGAAGAAAUGGCAUUUUCUCUCAUUCAUUGUUUAUUCCUAAUAGAAUCAAAGUACUAGCUAUUGCUAGUAGAAUCAAAGUACUAGCAUCAUGUUUAAUAAGGAAAUAACUACAGUGGCUUAAACACAGAGGCUUGUUUUCUUAUUGAGGGCUUCCCUGGUGGUCCUGUGGUUAAGAAUCAUCCUUGCAAAGUAGGAAAACCAGAUUGAUCCCUGGUCUAGGAGGAUCCCACAUGCCCUGCAGCAGCUAAGCCAGUGAGCCGCAACCCACAUGCUGAGGGACUGUUGCUAAGCUAAGAGCCAGGAUAUGUAGGAGUUUCUGCUGCAAAAACAAAAACACCCCUCCCCUCCAUGUCAUCAAGAGAUUACUUCUAAUCACAAAAGCAGACAUCUCAAGUUAAUGAUUUUAGUGCUUUUCUAUGUAUGGGAAAGGUGCCAGAGUCUGGACUCUGAAAUAAUUCCUGAUACACAUCUUAAGUAUCGAGGACCAAUAUUCUGUGUUUUUUUUUAUUUUUGCAACUCAGAAUUCCCCUCAGGGUACACCAUAGAGGCAGCUGCAGUGGUUGAUGGCUUUAUCACUGCAACA